rnacentral:tRNA from 1 species
UCCUUGGUGGUCCAGUGGUUAGGACUCUGAACUCCCACUAUCAGAGGUGUGAGUUCAAUCCCUGCACAGGGAA